CCCCCUGCCCAACACUCUGCACACCUAUCGAUUAGCAGCUUAUUAGCACCAACGUAAGUGCUCCUCCCUAAAGACACAGCGAAAAAAUCCAAGCAAUGCCACCUCUGAGAUCUUUUCCCUCCACUGCCAACUCGAGUUAAGCUUCAAUUCAAUCUACCAUCCUCCAAUCUCCCUGCUCUUUCCUUCUCUUUUCCUCCCUCGUUUGCUUCCAAAUCCAAAAGAGAUCAGCCAAAGCACCACCAGUCCUUCCUUUUCGCUAGCUGACGCGCUCCUCUUCCAAGUAACAUGGUAGUAGCAAAAGCUAGUGGGUAUUGUCGAGAAAGAAAAAGACUGGUACAAGCUAGUGGCUAUUGUCGAGAAAGAAAAAGACUGGUCACUGGUGCAAGACUGCAAGCUAAACCUAGGUGCUUUGUGAUAUACUGAUAUCCAAUGGUUGGACAUGAGCUCUUACAAUAUUUUUUUAGAAAAGGCUAAGGGCGAUUGAGGUAAUUCCCAAUCGAAUCAAUACAAAAUACAUCUAUUUUUUGUUCC